rnacentral:lncRNA from 1 species
CAGUUCAGGGAUGAGUUCUGCAAGUCAAGACUUCUCCUGUUGGUUCCAGAGAACUGAUCUGCUGAAUGGAAGUUAAGGAAUUUGUGACGGCUUUCAGGAAACUUUGUCUUAGCCAAAUUUUCUAUUUGCAGCGUGAAAACUGGCUGUGUGGGAGAACCAUGACUUGGAGAGGGAAAGGAGGAAUGUAUCAGGCUUAACACACAGCAUAUGCCCUCCUUGCAGAAUGAAUUAGGGGAUGCUGGGAAGAGGAAGCAAUCAGGGUAGAUAGAGAGCUGUACUUGGAAGCAGUGAAAGAAAGCUGGUAGUAUCCUAGAGAGAUACGAGGAUCAGAACUCAGGAAAGAGUGUUGGAUUUCAAAGGAACUCAGGCUGUUAAGGGCUGACAAGCUUGGUCAGGGCACGCUGUGCUGGGACUGCUGGAUGAUGUGCUCCAGAGACAGUGUGCAGCGUUGGUCAGCCACCUUUCAUCAUCCUUGGUGCAGGGUGAGUUGGGACGCUGGUCAGCAUGGCGUGGUGACUCGCAUCUGCGUUCAUUCAAGACUUUGCGCCCAAACGGGCUAUGAAUAA